rnacentral:rRNA from 1 species
CCUCGUGGGCGGGAUGAGUAUUCCAAGGCGCUUGAGAGAACUCAGGAGAAGGAACUCGGCAAAUUAGUACCGUAACUUCGGGAUAAGGUACGCCCCUAGUAGGUGAAAGUGUACAACUGGAGCCGAAUGGGGUCGCAGUGAAAAGGUGGCUGCGACUGUUUAACAAAAACACAGCACUCUGCAAACACGUCAAGUGGACGUAUAGGGUGUGACGCCUGCCCGGUGCCGGAAGGUUAAGUGAUGGGGUGCAAGCUCUUGAUCGAAGCCCCGGUAAACGGCGGCCGUAACAAUAACGGUCCUAAGGUAGCGAAAUUCCUUGUCGGGUAAGUUCCGACCUGCACGAAUGGCGUAACGAUGGCCACACUGUCUCCUCCUGAGACUCAGCGAAGUUGAAGUGUUUGUGAUGAUGCAAUCUCCCCGCUGCAAGACGGAAAGACCCCGUGCACCUUUACUGCAACUUUGCAUUGGACUUUGAUGAGAUUUGUGUAGGAUAGCUGGGAGACUUUGAAGUGGGGGCGCUAGCUCUCAUGGAGUCGACGUUGAAAUACCAGCCUGAUGUUAUUGAGGUUCUAACCUGGAUCCGUAAUCCGGAUCGGGGACCGUGCAUGGUGGCAGUUUGACUGGGGCGGUCUCCUCCCAAAGAGUAACGGAGGAGUGCGACGGUACGCUUAGCGCGGUCGGCUAUCGCGCUGUAUGUGCAAUGGCAAAAGCGUGCUUAACUGCGAGACGGACAUGUCGAGCAGGUGCGAAAGCAGGUCAUAGUGAUCCGGUGGUUCUGUAUGGAAGGGCCAUCGCUCAACGGAUAAAAGGUACGCCGGGGAUAACAGGCUGAUUCCUCCCAAGAGUUCAUAUCGACGGGGGAGUUUGGCACCUCGAUGUCGGCUCAUCACAUCCUGGGGCUGUAGCCGGUCCCAAGGGUAUGGCUGUUCGCCAUUUAAAGUGGUACGUGAGCUGGGUUCAAAACGUCGUGAGACAGUUUGGUCCCUAUCUGCAGUGGGCGUUGGAAGCUUGAGGGGGGCUGCUCCUAGUACGAGAGGACCGGAGUGGACGCAUCUCUGGUGUACCGGUUGUCACGCCAGUGGCAUCGCCGGGUAGCUAAAUGCGGAAAAGAUAAGCGCUGAAAGCAUCUAAGCGCGAAACUUGCCUCAAGAUGAGACUUCCCGGGAACUUGAUUCCCCUAAAGGGUCGCGGAAGACCACCGCGUUGAUAGGUCGGGUGUGUAAGAGCAGCAAUGCUUUGAGCUAACCGAUACUAAUUGCCCGUGAGGCUUGAUC